UCAGGGGUGGAAGGCGAGUUGUUAGGACGUAUGGCUACCAACCUGAUGGUUGUGGGUUUGAUUCCCACCCUUUGAA